AGACAGGUGGCUGCAUGGCUGUCGUCAGCUCGUGUCGUGAGAUGUUGGGUUAAGUCCCGCAACGAGCGCAACCCUUGCCUUUAGUUGCCAGCAGUUCGGCUGGGCACUCUAAAGGGACUGCCGGUGUUAAACCGGAGGAAGGUGGGGAUGACGUCAAGUCCUCAUGGCCUUUAUGACCAGGGCUACACACGUACUACAAUGGCCGAUACAAAGGGCAGCGACACUGCGAGGUGAAGCCAAUCCCGUAAAAUACGGUCUCAGUCCGGAUUGGAGUCUGCAACUCGACUCCAUGAAGUUGGAAUCGCUAGUAAUCGUGGAUCAGCAUGCCACGGUGAAUACGUUCCCGGGCCUU
rnacentral:rRNA from 1 species